rnacentral:rRNA from 1 species
GCUACUAAUAGCUAGCUUAAACAUCACAUUAAAUUGACAAUAUAAAUAAAGUAGUAAAACCUAAAAUUAUUAAUUAAACCAUUUUUCCACCUUAGUACGGGAGACGAAAAAGGUUCUGUAAGCAAUAGAGAAAGUACCGCAAGGGAAUGCUGAAAAAGCAAUGAAACAAGUCAUUUAAGCAUGAAGAAGCAGAGACUAAAACUCGUACCUUUUGCAUCAUGAUUUAGCAAGCAUACAACAGGCAGAGAGACCUUUAGUCUGUUACCCCGAAACCAAGUGAGCUACCCCGGGACAGCCUUAUAAGGGCCAACCCGUCUCUGUGGCAAAAGCGUGGGAAGAGCCCCGGGUAGAGGUGACAGACCUACCGAACUUGGUGAUAGCUGGUUGCUUAAGAAAUGAAUAGAAGUUCAGCCUCGUGCCCCUUUAAUUAAAUAAGUAAUAUCUGAUUUAAAAAUAUGAGAGAAACAUGAGAGUUAGCUGAAGGGGGUACAGCCCCUUCAAUUAAGGAUACAACUUUACCAGGAGGAUAGGGAUUAUAAUUAUAAAGAUUUAUUGCUUCAGUGGGCCUAAAAGCAGCCAUCUGCACAGAAAGCGUUAAAGCUCAAGCACUACAAAAUUUAUUAUCCUAAUAAAACAUCCCACUCCCCUAAAUAUAUUAAGCCGUUCCAUGAUAUCAUGGAAGAGAUUAUGCUAAAAUGAGUAACAAGAGAUAAUAUUUCUCUCCAAGCAUAAGUGUAAGCCAGCCCGGAUAAGCCGCUGGCAAUUAACGAACCCAAUAAAAGAGGGCAGUGUAACUAAUAAAAAACACAAGAAAAUUAUACAACCCCUAAUCGUUAACCCCACACUGGAAUGCCCAAAGGAAAGACUAAAAGGAAGGGAAGGAACUCGGCAAACACAAGCCUCGCCUGUUUACCAAAAACAUCGCCUCCUGCAAAACUCAAAGUAUAGGAGGUCCAGCCUGCCCAGUGACCACAAGUUCAACGGCCGCGGUAUUUUGACCGUGCAAAGGUAGCGCAAUCACUUGUCUUUUAAAUGAAGACCUGUAUGAAUGGCUAAACGAGGGCUUAGCUGUCUCCCUUUCCAAGUCAGUGAAAUUGAUCUGCCCGUGCAGAAGCGGACAUAAAAAUACAAGACGAGAAGACCCUUUGGAGCUUAAGGUUCAAGCCCAACCGCAUCAAACAACUUUCUUAAUAAGAACUAAACCUUAGCGGAUGAUGGAGCUUUACCUUCGGUUGGGGCGACCACGGAGAAAAAUAUAUCCUCCAAGUGGAUUGGGUAAUAAACCUAAAACUAAGAAAGACAUUUCUAAGUCACAGAAAAUCUGACCAACAAUGAUCCGGCCUAUAGGCCGAUCAACGGACCAAGUUACCCUAGGGAUAACAGCGCAAUCCUCUCCCAGAGUCCAUAUCGACGAGGGGGUUUACGACCUCGAUGUUGGAUCAGGACAUCCUAAUGGUGCAGCCGCUAUUAAGGGUUCGUUUGUUCAACGAUUAAAGUCCUACGUGAUCUGAGUUCAGACCGGAGCAAUCCAGGUCAGUUUCUAUCUGUAAAUGUCACUUUUCCUAGUACGAAAGGACCGGAAAAGAAAGGCCCAUGCUAAAAGUAUGCCUUACCCUUAAUUAAUGAAGACAACUAAAUUAAACAAAUGGAGGACCUUCAAUCUAGGCAAAGAUAAAGCCAU